rnacentral:rRNA from 1 species
GGUUAAGCGACUAAGCGUACACGGUGGAUGCCCUGGCAGUCAGAGGCGAUGAAGGACGUGCUAAUCUGCGAUAAGCGUCGGUAAGGUGAUAUGAACCGUUAUAACCGGCGAUUUCCGAAUGGGGAAACCCAGUGUGUUUCGACACACUAUCAUUAACUGAAUCCAUAGGUUAAUGAGGCGAACCGGGGGAACUGAAACAUCUAAGUACCCCGAGGAAAAGAAAUCAACCGAGAUUCCCCCAGUAGCGGCGAGCGAACGGGGAGCAGCCCAGAGCCUGAAUCAGUGUGUGUGUUAGUGGAAGCGUCUGGAAAGGCGCGCGAUACAGGGUGACAGCCCCGUACACAAAAAUGCACAUAUUGUGAGCUCGAUGAGUAGGGCGGGACACGUGGUAUCCUGUCUGAAUAUGGGGGGACCAUCCUCCAAGGCUAAAUACUCCUGACUGACCGAUAGUGAACCAGUACCGUGAGGGAAAGGCGAAAAGAACCCCGGCGAGGGGAGUGAAAAAGAACCUGAAACCGUGUACGUACAAGCAGUGGGAGCACGCUUAGGCGUGUGACUGCGUACCUUUUGUAUAAUGGGUCAGCGACUUAUAUUCUGUAGCAAGGUUAACCGAAUAGGGGAGCCGAAGGGAAACCGAGUCUUAACUGGGCGUUAAGUUGCAGGGUAUAGACCCGAAACCCGGUGAUCUAGCCAUGGGCAGGUUGAAGGUUGGGUAACACUAACUGGAGGACCGAACCGACUAAUGUUGAAAAAUUAGCGGAUGACUUGUGGCUGGGGGUGAAAGGCCAAUCAAACCGGGAGAUAGCUGGUUCUCCCCGAAAGCUAUUUAGGUAGCGCCUCGUGAAUUCAUCUCCGGGGGUAGAGCACUGUUUCGGCAAGGGGGUCAUCCCGA